rnacentral:rRNA from 1 species
AACGCGAAGAACCUUACCUGGACUUGACAUUGUAGGAUCCUGUAGAGAUAUGGGAGUGCUAGCUUGCUAGAGCUUGAAAACAGGUGCUGCACGGCUGUCGUCAGCUCGUGUCGUGAGAUGUUGGGUUAAGUCCCGCAACGAGCGCAACCCACGUCGUUAGUUGCUAACAGUUAGGCUGAGAACUCUAACGAGACUGCCUUCGUAAGGAGGAGGAAGGUGUGGACGACGUCAAGUCAUCAUGGCCCUUACGUCCAGGGCUACACACGUGCUACAAUGGGAUAUACAAAGAGCAGCGAUACAGUGAUGUGGAGCAAAUCUCAUAAAAUAUCUCCCAGUUCGGAUUGUAGUCUGCAACUCGACUACAUGAAGUUGGAAUCGCUAGUAAUCGUAGAUCAGCAUUGCUACGGUGAAUACGUUCCCGGGUCUUGUACACACCG